rnacentral:rRNA from 1 species
CCUACCAUGCAAGUCGAACGGUCUCUUCGGAGAUAGUGGCGGACGGGUGAGUAACGCGUGAGCAAUCUGCCUUCAGGAUGGGGACAACAGAGGGAAACUUCUGCUAAAACCCAAUGUGCCGCAAGGUGAAAUAUUUAUAGCCUGGAGAGGAGCUCGCGUCCGAUUAGUUAGUUGGUGGGGUAAAGGCCUACCAAGGCAGCGAUCGGCAGCUGGUCUGAGAGGAUGAGCAGCCACACUGGGACUGAGACACGGCCCAGACUCCUACGGGAGGCAGCAGUGGGGAAUUUUCCGCAAUGGGCGAAAGCCUGACGGAGCAAUACCGCGUGAGGGAGGAAGGUUUUUGGAUUGUAAACCUCUUUUUUAAAGGAAGUAGAAAGUGACGGUACUUUAAGAAUAAGCAUCGGCUAACUCCGUGCCAGCAGCCGCGGUAAUACGGAGGAUGCAAGCGUUAUCCGGAAUCAUUGGGCGUAAAGCGUCCGCAGGUGGUUCAUCAAGUCUGCUGUUAAAGACAGAAGCUCAACUUCUGAUAGGCAGUGGAAACUGGUGAACUAGAGUAUGGUAGGGGUUGAGGGAAUUCCCAGUGUAGCGGUGAAAUGCGUAGAUAUUGGGAAGAACACCAGUGGCGAAGGCGCUCAACUGGGCCAUAACUGACACUCAGGGACGAAAGCUAGGGUAGCGAAAGGGAUUAGAUACCCCUGUAGUCUUAGCUGUAAACGAUGAACACUAGGCGUUGCUUGUAUCGACCCGAGCAGUGCCGUAGCCAACGCGUUAAGUGUUCCGCCUGGGGAGUACGCACGCAAGUGUGAAACUC